rnacentral:rRNA from 1 species
UACGAAGGGGGCUAGCGUUGCUCGGAAUCACUGGGCGUAAAGGGUGCGUAGGCGGGUCUUUAAGUCAGGGGUGAAAUCCUGGAGCUCAACUCCAGAACUGCCUUCGAUACUGGGAGCUCGAGUCCGGGAGAAGUGAGUGGAACUGCGAGUGUAGAGGUGAAAUUCGUAGAUAUUCGCAAGAACACCAGUGGCGAAGGCGGCUCACUGGCCCGGUACUGACGCUGAGGUGCGAAAGCGUGGGGGAGCAAACAGGG